UGCCAGACUCCUACGGGAGGCAGCAGUGAGGAAUAUUGGUCAAUGGUCGGGAGACUGAACCAGCCGAGCCGCGUGAGGGAUGAAGGUACAGAGUAUCGUAAACCUCUUUUGUCAGGGAGCAACGCCGGCUACGUGUAGCCGGACUGAGAGUACCUGAAGAAAAAGCAUCGGCUAACUCCGUGCCAGCAGCCGCGGUAAUACGGAGGAUGCGAGCGUUAUCCGGAUUUAUUGGGUUUAAAGGGUGCGUAGGCGGAAUGCCAAGUCAGCGGUAAAAUCGCGGGGCUCAACCUCGCUCCGCCGUUGAAACUGGCGUUCUUGAGUGGGCGAGAAGAAGGCGGAAUGCGUGGUGUAGCGGUGAAAUGCAUAGAUAUCACGCAGAACCCCGAUUGCGAAGGCAGCCUUCCGGCGCCCUACUGACGCUGAGGCACGAAAGUGCGGGGAUCGAACAGGAUUAGAUACCCGAGUA
rnacentral:rRNA from 1 species